GGAGACGUGUCAGAGUGGUCUAAUGUGCCUCUUUGCUAAAGAGGUGAUCGGUUUAUCCCGGUCCGGAGGUUCGAAUCCUCCCGUCUCCG
rfam:Parcubacteria (Yanofskybacteria) bacterium GW2011_GWA1_39_13 TT29_C0001, whole genome shotgun sequence.